UACGGGGGGGGCAAGCGUUGUUCGGAAUUACUGGGCGUAAAGGGCUCGUAGGCGGCUAACUAAGUCCGACGUGAAAUCCCCAGGCUUAACCUGGGAACUGCGUCGGAUACUGGAUGGCUUGAAUUCGGGAGAGGGAUGCAGAAUUCCAGGUGUAGCGGUGAAAUGCGUAGAUAUCUGGAGGAAUACCGGUGGCGAAGGCGGCAUCCUGGACCGACAUUGACGCUGAUGAGCGAAAGCUAGGGGAGCAAACGGG
rnacentral:rRNA from 1 species